UACGUAGGUGGCAAGCGUUGUCCGGAAUUAUUGGGCGUAAAGCGCGCGCAGGCGGUCCUUUAAGUCUGAUGUGAAAGCCCCACGGCUCAACCGUGGAGGGUCAUUGGAAACUGGGGGGACUUGAGUGCAGGAGAGAAGAGUGGAAUUCCACGUGUAGCGGUGAAAUGCGUAGAGAUGUGGAGGAACACCAGUGGCGAAGGCGACUCUUUGGUCUGUAACUGACGCUGAGGCGCGAAAGCGUGGGGAGCAAACAG
rnacentral:rRNA from 1 species